rnacentral:lncRNA from 1 species
CCUUCCAACCUUCUAUAUUACCUCUUGCCUAUGUAACACCUCUCCACCUCAAUCAGAAGAUAACCAUAAAGAAAACAAGAAGAUUUAGGAUAAAAACCUAGUGCAACAGAUCCUGGAUGCAGGAACCCUAGGCAUCUUCCUUUUCUCCUCCGUGCAACCAUGCUUUGAUACCAAAUGUUGGGAUUCACAUUGGACCAUGCAUGGGACCUGAUGAUCAGCCAGCAACCAAAAGGGGAUCGCAUA